GUAGGGUGCAAGCGUUAAUCGGAAUUACUGGGCGUAAAGCGUGCGCAGGCGGUGAUGUAAGACAGUUGUGAAAUCCCCGGGCUCAACCUGGGAACUGCAUCUGUGACUGCAUCGCUGGAGUACGGCAGAGGGGGAUGGAAUUCCGCGUGUAGCAGUGAAAUGCGUAGAUAUGCGGAGGAACACCGAUGGCGAAGGCAAUCCCCUGGGCCUGUACUGACGCUNNUGCNCGAAAGCGUGGGGAGCAAACAGGAUUAGAUACCCUGGUAGUCCACGCCCUAAACGAUGUCAACUGGUUGUUGGGUCUUCACUGACUCAGUAACGAAGCUAACGCGUGAAGUUGACCGCCUGGGGAGU
rnacentral:rRNA from 1 species